GAUGAACGCUAGCGGCAGGCCUAACACAUGCAAGUCGAGGGGGAAGUUACUUUCGGGUAACAGAGACCGGCGUACGGGUGCGUAACGCGUAUACAAUCUGCCUUUCACUGGGGGAUAGCCCGAAGAAAUUUGGAUUAAUACCCCAUAGUAUAGUAAUACGGCAUCGUGAUACUAUUAAAACUUAGGUGGUGAAAGAUGAGUAUGCGUUCUAUUAGUUAGUUGGAGAGGUAACGGCUCCCCAAGGCGAUGAUAGAUAGGGGUUCUGAGAGGGAUGUCCCCCACACUGGUACUGAGAUACGGACCAGACUCCUACGGGAGGCAGCAGUGAGGAAUAUUGGACAAUGGUCGGAAGACUGAUCCAGCCAUGCCGCGUGCAGGAUGAAGGUCUUAUGGAUUGUAAACUGCUUUUGUAAGGGAAGAAUAAGGGCUACGUGUAGUUUGAUGACGGUACCUUACGAAUAAGCAUCGGCUAACUCCGUGCCAGCAGCCGCGGUAAUACGGAGGAUGCGAGCGUUAUCCGGAAUCAUUGGGUUUAAAGGGUCUGUAGGCGGGCUGGUAAGUCAGAGGUGAAAGCGCUCAGCUCAACUGAGCAACUGCCUUUGAAACUGUUGGUCUUGAAUGGUUGUGAAGUAGUUGGAAUGUGUAGUGUAGCGGUGAAAUGCUUAGAUAUUACACAGAACACCGAUAGCGAAGGCAUAUUACUAACAAUUGAUUGACGCUGAUGGACGAAAGCGUGGGGAGCGAACAGG
rnacentral:rRNA from 1 species